rnacentral:rRNA from 1 species
UACGUAGGGUGCGAGCGUUAAUCGGAAUUACUGGGCGUAAAGGGUGCGCAGGCGGCUCUGCAAGUCAAGCGUGAAAGCCCCGGGCUUAACCUGGGAAUGGCGCUUGAAACUACAGGACUGGAGUAUGGCAGAGGGAGGUGGAAUUCCACGUGUAGCGGUGAAAUGCGUAGAGAUGUGGAGGAACACCGAUGGCGAAGGCAGCCCCCUGGGUUAACACUGACGCUCAUGCACGAAAGCGUGGGGAGCAAACAGG